UACGUAGGUGACAAGCGUUGUCCGGAUUUACUGGGCGUAAAGAGCGCGCAGGCGGUCGUUCAAGUCGAGUGUGAAAGCCCCCGGCUCAACUGGGGAGGGUCACUCGAUACUGAUCGACUUGAAGGCAGGAGAGGGAAGCGGAAUUCCCGGUGUAGUGGUGAAAUGCGUAGAUAUCGGGAGGAACACCAGUGGCGAAGGCGGCUUCCUGGCCUGCCUCUUGACGCUGAGGCGCGAAAGCUAGGGUAGCAAACGGG
rnacentral:rRNA from 1 species